rnacentral:snRNA from 1 species
AACUGAUUUUUGGCAAGAGGGGGACAGUUCGGGGCUUGCUCCACUUCUCCCACGGGUCGGCCCGGUAUUGCAGUACCGCCGGGAAUGGCCCACGUGAA